rnacentral:rRNA from 1 species
GACGAACGCUGGCGGCGUGCCUAAUACAUGCAAGUCGAGCGGACUGAUUAAGAGCUUGCUCUUAUGACGUUAGCGGCGGACGGGUGAGUAACACGUGGGCAACCUGCCCUGUAGAUCGGGAUAACACCGAGAAAUCGGUGCUAAUACCGGGUAAUAUCUGAGAUCACAUGAUCUUAGGUUAAAAGAUGGCUCCGGCUAUCACUACAGGAUGGGCCCGCGGCGCAUUAGCUAGUUGGUAAGGUAAUGGCUUACCAAGGCGACGAUGCGUAGCCGACCUGAGAGGGUGAUCGGCCACACUGGGACUGAGACACGGCCCAGACUCCUACGGGAGGCAGCAGUAGGGAAUCUUCCGCAAUGGACGAAAGUCUGACGGAGCAACGCCGCGUGAGUGAUGAAGGGGUUCGGCUCGUAAAGCGCUGUUGUUAGGGAAGAAACAGUACCGAACGAACUAGGUCGGUACCUUGACGGUACCUAACCAGAAAGCCACGGCUAACUACGUG